GACGAACGCUGGCGGCGUGCCUAAUACAUGCAAGUUGAGCGCUGAAGGUUGGUACUUGUACCAACUGGAUGAGCAGCGAACGGGUGAGUAACGCGUGGGGAAUCUGCCUUUGAGCGGGGGACAACAUUUGGAAACGAAUGCUAAUACCGCAUAAAAACUUUAAACACAAGUUUUAAGUUUGAAAGAUGCAAUUGCAUCACUCAAAGAUGAUCCCGCGUUGUAUUAGCUAGUUGGUGAGGUAAAGGCUCACCAAGGCGAUGAUACAUAGCCGACCUGAGAGGGUGAUCGGCCCCAUUGGGACUGAGACACGGCCCAAACUCCUACGGGAGGCAGCAGUAGGGAAUCUUCGGCAAUGGACGAAAGUCUGACCGAGCAACGCCGCGUGAGUGAAGAAGGUUUUCGGAUCGUCAAACUCUGUUGGUAGAGAAGAACGUUGGUGAGAGUGGAAAGCUCAUCAAGUGACGGUAACUACCCAGAAAGGGACGGCUAACUACGUG
rnacentral:rRNA from 1 species